GACAGAGGUCCCAAGCGUUAGGCGGAAUCACUGGGCUUAAAGCGUGUGUAGGCGGAUUUGUAAGUACCUUGUGAAAUCCCACGGCUCAACCGUGGAACUGCUUGGUAUACUGCUUAUCUUGGGCCAUCUAGGGGCGAGCGGAACAAACGGUGGAGCGGUGAAAUGCGUAGAUAUCGUUUGGAACGCCAAUGGUGAAAACAGGUUGCUGGGAGUGUGCUGACGCUGAGACACGAAAGCCAGGGGAGCGAACGGG
rnacentral:rRNA from 1 species